rnacentral:rRNA from 1 species
GGACGGGUGAGUAAUGUCUGGGAAACUGCCUGAUGGAGGGGGGAGUAACUACUGGAAACGGUAGCUAAUACCGCAUAACGUCGCAAGACCAAAGAGGGGGACCUUCGGGCCUCUUGCCAUCAGAUGUGCCCAGACGGGAUUAGCUAGUAGGUGGGGUAACGGCUCACCUAGGCGACGAUCCCUAGCUGGUCUGAGAGGAUGACCAGCCACACUGGAACUGAGACACGGUCCAGACUCCUACGGGAGGCAGCAUG